rnacentral:tRNA from 1 species
GGGCGAUUAGCUCAAGCGGGUAGAGCGCCACGUUUACACCGUGGAUGUCAGAGGUUCGAGUCCUCUAUCGCCCA